rnacentral:rRNA from 1 species
AGGCUUAACACAUGCAAGUCGAGGGGCAGCAUGGUCUUAGCUUGCUAAGACUGAUGGCGACCGGCGCACGGGUGAGUAACACGUAUCCAACCUGCCGUCUACUCUUGGACAGCCUUCUGAAAGGAAGAUUAAUACAAGAUGGCAUCAUGAGUCCGCAUGUUCACAUGAUUAAAGAUAUUCCGGUAGACGAUGGGGAUGCGUUCCAUUAGAUGGUAGGCGGGGUAACGGCCCACCUAGUCUUCGAUGGAUAGGGGUUCUGAGAGGAAGGUCCCCCACAUUGGAACUGAGACACGGUCCAAACUCCUACGGGAGGCAGCAGUGAGGAAUAUUGGUCAAUGGGCGAGAGCCUGAACCAGCCAAGUAGCGUGAAGGAUGACUGCCCUAUGGGUUGUAAACUUCUUUUAUAAAGGAAUAAAGUCGGGUAUGGAUACCCGUUUGCAUGUACUUUAUGAAUAAGGAUCGGCUAACUCCGUGCCAGCAGCCGCGGUAAUACGGAGGAUCCGAGCGUUAUCGAUUAUUGGUUAAGGGUAGAUGGGGAAUUGUUUAUAGUCAUUGUGAAAGUUUGCAGGCUCAACCGUAAAUGCAGUUGAUACUGGAUAUCUUGAGUGCAGUUGAGGCAGGCGGAAUUCGUGGUGUAGCGGUGAAUGCUUAGAUAUCACGA